GGGCCCGUGGCGGAACUGGCAGACGCAGCGGACUUAAAAUCCGUUUCCUUCACCGGAGUGUGGGUUCAAGUCCCACCAGGCCCA
rnacentral:tRNA from 1 species